rnacentral:rRNA from 1 species
AGAGUUUGAUCAUGGCUCAAAUUGAACGCUGGCGGCAGGCUUAACACAUGCAAGUCGAGCGGAAACGAUGAUAGCUUGCUAUCAGGCGUCGAGCGGCGGACGGGUGAGUAACACUUAGGAAUCUACCUAGUAGUGGGGGAUAGCUCGGGGAAACUCGAAUUAAUACCGCAUACGUCCUACGGGAGAAAGGGGGCAACUUGUUGCUCUCGCUAUUAGAUGAGCCUAAGUCGGAUUAGCUAGUUGGUGGGGUAAAGGCCUACCAAGGCGACGAUCUGUAGCUGGUCUGAGAGGAUGAUCAGCCACACCGGGACUGAGACACGGCCCGGACUCCUACGGGAGGCAGCAGUGGGGAAUAUUGGACAAUGGGGGCAACCCUGAUCCAGCCAUGCCGCGUGUGUGAAGAAGGCCUUUUGGUUGUAAAGCACUUUAAGCAGUGAAGAAGACCUAACGGUUAAUACCCGUUAGCGAUGACAUUAGCUGCAGAAUAAGCACCGGCUAACUCUGUGCCAGCAGCCGCGGUAAUACAGAGGGUGCAAGCGUUAAUCGGAAUUACUGGGCGUAAAGCGAGCGUAGGUGGCUUGAUAAGUCAGAUGUGAAAUCCCCGGGCUUAACCUGGGAACUGCAUCUGAUACUGUUAGGCUAGAAUAGGUGAGAGGAAGGUAGAAUUCCAGGUGUAGCGGUGAAAUGCGUAGAGAUCUGGAGGAAUACCGAUGGCGAAGGCAGCCUUCUGGCAUCAUAUUGACACUGAGGUUCGAAAGCGUGGGUAGCAAACAGGAUUAGAUACCCUGGUAGUCCACGCCGUAAACGAUGUCUACUAGUCGUUGGGUCCCUUGAGGACUUAGUGACGCAGCUAACGCAAUAAGUAGACCGCCUGGGGAGUACGGCCGCAAGGUUAAAACUCAAAUGAAUUGACGGGGGCCCGCACAAGCGGUGGAGCAUGUGGUUUAAUUC